GAAGAUGUUCAAGCUCAUGAUUUAGGGAAAGUUGGAGAGGUCAUCGUCACCAAAGAUGAUGCCAUGCUUUUGAAAGGAAAAGGUGACAAAGCUCACAUUGAAAAACGUAUUCAAGAAAUCACUGAGCAGCUAGACAUCACAACUAGUGAAUAUGAGAAGGAAAAGCUGAACGAGCGACUUGCUAAACUCUCAGAUGGAGUAGCUGUGUUGAAGGUUGGAGGGACAAGUGAUGUUGAAGUGAAUGAGAAGAAAGACAGAGUUACAGAUGCUCUCAAUGCUACAAGAGCAGCUGUUGAAGAAGGCAUUGUUCUAGGAGGGGGCUGUGCUCUACUUCGGUGCAUCCCAGCCUUGGAUUCAUUAAAGCCUGCUAAUGAAGAUCAGAAGAUAGGUAUAGAAAUUAUUAAAAGAGCACUUAAAAUUCCUGCAAUGACAAUUGCUAAGAAUGCAGGUGUUGAAGGAUCUUUGAUAGUUGAAAAAAUUCUGCAGAGUUCCUCAGAGGUUGGCUAUGAUGCCAUGCUUGGAGAUUUUGUGAACAUGGUGGAAAAGGGAAUCAUUGAUCCAACAAAGGUAAAUAAAUCAGCAUUUCUAAACAAUGAA
rnacentral:lncRNA from 1 species